rnacentral:rRNA from 1 species
AACGGCCAUACCAUGCUGAAUAUACCGGUUCUCGUUAGAUCACCGAAGUCAAGCAUCAUUGGGCGCGGUCAGUACUUGGGUGGGUGACCACCUGGGAACAUCGCGUGCUGUU